UACGAAGGGGGCUAGCGUUGUUCGGAAUCACUGGGCGUAAAGCGCACGUAGGCGGGUUCUUAAGUCAGGGGUGAAAUCCCGAGGCUCAACCUCGGAACUGCCUUUGAUACUGGGAAUCCUGAGUUCGGGAGAGGUGAGUGGAAUUGCGAGUGUAGAGGUGAAAUUCGUAGAUAUUCGCAAGAACACCAGUGGCGAAGGCGGCUCACUGGCCCGAUACUGACGCUGAGGUGCGAAAGCGUGGGGAGCAAACAGG
rnacentral:rRNA from 1 species